rnacentral:rRNA from 1 species
UACGGGGGGGGCAAGCGUUGUUCGGAAUUACUGGGCGUAAAGGGCUCGUAGGCGGCCAACUAAGUCAGACGUGAAAUCCCCAGGCUCAACCUGGGAACUGCGUCCGAUACUGGAUGGCUUGAAUCCGGGAGAGGGAUGCGGAAUUCCAGGUGUAGCGGUGAAAUGCGUAGAUAUCUGGAGGAACACCGGUGGCGAAGGCGGCAUCCUGGACCGGCAUUGACGCUGAGGCGCGAAAGCCAGGGGAGCAAACGGG